rnacentral:snoRNA from 1 species
AGUACCAGUGAUGAGUUGAAUACUGCCCCAGUCUGAUCACUGUGAGGAAAGGUAUUUUCUGAGUUGUG